UUAUUUAUUUUAUAGAAAUUAAAUUUUGAUUUUCAUUCUUGUCUGGGAUGAGAAUGACGCAAUCCAUUUAUACUUCAAUUCGGUUUUAAACUCCGAAUUGAUUCAUUCAAGAGUAAACCGUUUAAAACCUAUUUGCAUAAACACCUUCCUUGUUUCUUCCUCUAUCACACUAUUUUCUUAAAUAAAACUCUCUUUCAAAAUCCAAAUAUUCAUUUCGAUUUUCAUUCCAAUAAUGAACUAAAUAUUUUUUUAAUGUUUCAUUACACCAUUUUUCAUUCCAAUACAAUUUAAUUUAAUUUUUUAUAUUUAAUUUGAAAUUCACCUGACCAUAGGUGGUCAAAUUUUAUGUCAAAUAACCAGCUUAUAAAUUAUAUAGUUUAAUUAAAUAAUAAUUUUUUAACAAAAAUCUUAUUAAUUAAAUAAAAUAAAAAAAAUUUAGUUACAUGGCAAAACUAUUAUCAUUAAUUAUUAUUUACAUUCGAUUAAAAC
rnacentral:lncRNA from 1 species